rnacentral:rRNA from 1 species
AGAGUUUGAUCAUGGCUCAGAGCGAACGUUAGCGGCGGGCCUAACACAUGCAAGUCGAACGCGAAAGGGAUUCGUCCCCGGUAGCGUGGCGUCCGGGUGAGUAACACGUAGGAAAUCUUCCCUCGAGCGGGGGAUAACGUCCCGAAAGGGACGCUAAUACCGCAUAAGCCCACGUCCGCCUCGGCGGAUGAGGGAAAAGCUGGCCACUGUAUACAAGCUAGCACUUGAGGAUGAUCCUGCGGCGCAUCAGCUAGUUGGUGAGGUAAUGGUUCACCAAGGCUUAGACGCGUAGCUGGUCUGAGAGGAUGAUCAGCCACACUGGCACUGAAACACGGGCCAGACUCCUACGGGAGGCAGCAGUGGGGAAUAUUGGACAAUGGGCGCAAGCCUGAUCCAGCCACGCCGCGUGAGUGAUGAAGGCCUUCGGGUUGUAAAGCUCUGUGGGGAGGGACGAAAACGGCACUCAAGAAACGGGGUGUCCUGACGGUACCUCCUAGCAG